rnacentral:rRNA from 1 species
UUUGGGCUUGGUAAUUGGAAUGAGGGAGAGUUAAACGGACCAUCGAGUAUCCAUUGGAGGGCAAGUCUGGUGCCAGCAGCUGCGGUAAUACCAGCUCCAAUAGCGUAUAUUAAAGUUGUUGCAGUUAAAAAGCUCGUAGUUGGACUUGUGUGCGCUGUCCGCGGGUGGCCUGCGCCCAAAAGGGCGUUUCGGUUCGGCCCCGGUGGCGCCUUGAAAUCUGCAGCUGGGGGGACGUUGGCCUUAACUGGUCGGCGACCGCACGCCGGCUGCUCGGUUACUGUGAGAAAAUUAGAGUGUUCAAGGCAGGCAUUGGGUGCAAUUGAAUACAUUAGCAUGGAAUAAUAAAAUAUGGCUCCUGCCGUAUUUUGUUGGUUUUGACUGGUGGGAGUAAUGAUUGAUAGGGACGACGGGGGUGCUAGUAUUGAGCGGCCAGAGGUGAAAUUCAUGGAUUCGCUCAAGACUAACUUAUGCGAAAGCAUUCACCAAGGACGUCCUCUUUAAUCAAGAACGAAAGUUGGGGGAUCGAAGACGAUCAGAUACCGUCGUAGUCUCAACCAUAAACUAUGUCGACUUGGGAUCGGCGGUAGUUUUUUCAUUAAGACACUGUCGGGACCACGGGAGAAAUCAAAGUGUCUGGACUCUGGGGGAAGUAUGGUCGCAAGGCUGAAACUUGAAGGAAUUGACGGAAGGGCACCACCAGGAGUGGAGCCUGCGGCUUAAUUUGACCCAACACGGGGAAACUUACCAGGUCCAGAGACAUAGAGGAUUGACAGAUUGAAGCUCUUUCUUGAUCACUUCGGUGGUGGUGCAUAGCCGUUCUUAGUUGGUGGAGUGAUUUGUCUGGUUAAUUCCGUUAACGAACGAGACCUCAGCCUGCUAGUGUAGUCGGCUGGAUUGCCUUUGGCGAUCCGUGAUUUCGACUUCUUAGAGGGACAAUCGACGCGCAGUCGAUGGAAGUUUGAGGCAAUAACAGGUCUGUGAUGCCCUUAGAUGUUCUGGGCCGCACGCGCGCUACACUGCUGGGCUCAGCGAGUUUUACUUGGCCGAGAGGCCCGGUUAAUCUUGUGAAAUCCCAGCGUGCUUGGGCUCGCCUCCUGCAACUGGAGGCGCCAACGAGGAAUUCCUAGUAGACGCAGGUCAUCAACCUGCAUCAAUUACGUCCCUGCCCUUUGUACACACCGCCCGUCGUUCCAUAAGAGUGAGGCAUCCGGUGAAUUCUCGGGAGAGCCUGGGCGUGGCCAGCAAUGGUCUGCUCGGGUUUGAACUUGCAUAAACUAGGUGCCUAUGAUUAGGG